rnacentral:rRNA from 1 species
UCCCCCCACACUGGAANUGAAACACGGUCCANACGCNUACGGGUGGCAGCAGGGAGGAAUAUUGGUCAAUGGGGGAAACCCCGAACCAGCAACGCCGCGUGAGGGAUGAAGGCAUUCGUGUCGUAAACCUCUUUUAAGGGAGACGAGAAAGGACGGUAUCCCUGGAAUAAGUCACGGCUAACUACGUGCCAGCAGCCGCGGUAAUACGUAGGUGACGAGCGUUAUCCGGAUUUACUGGGCGUAAAGCGCUUGUAGGUGGUCUUGUAAGUUGGGCGUGAAAACACCGGGCUUAACUCGGUGACGCCGUCCAAUACUGCGAGGCUGGAGGAUGUCAGAGGAAGGUGGAAUUCCUGGUGUAGUGGUGAAAUGCGUAGAUAUCAGGAGGAACACCCGUGGCGAAGGCGGCCUUCUGGGGCAUUC